AAGUAUAGUAUCUGUACUUAACUAGGUGUCAGGCGAAGUCUAUGGUGAAGUAUUACUCUUUCCAGAGGUUGAUAUGUAGUUGAAUUUUGAAGAAGAUGGGUGAUAUAAUAUUUCAUUUUUAACAAUAAAAAGGUUAUAAUGAAUUGUCAGAUUUGUUUGGCUGUUUGGAGAUUAGUAAAAUGCUCAAAUUGUUUGUUGUGAUGAAUAGAUAAGUUAUAAUAUGAUAGGAACUGGCCUACUUAGAAUAUUUGUUAUCAGAGGAUUUUCAAGAUGAAUAAAAGAAACAUAUGAAUGUAGUUUUGUUUUGUGGAACAUGUAAAAUAAGAACAGAAAAUUAGAAAAAAGAAAAAUACAGCACCAUGGUCAAGGCAGUCCCAAUAGAGUUUGCAUCGAUUCAUGUACUCUGUACACUGCAUAUUUUCCUACUCUAGUCCUGAGAAUCUAUCUCUUUCCCCUAAAGCUAGCAUGUUUCUGCAUUCUUGAUUCCUUCUAUCUGCACCACAAAAUGUCCACAUUCCACAUUUCUCUAGAGCUACUAACCUCCACCAUUCCAUAUGCCAAGGACUUUGUGAAGUCAGUUGCUGGCUGAUUUUAUUACCAAACUAAUCAUGUGGCAGAAUUAAAAACUGCUUUUAGGACACUCACGUGUGGAAGGUUCUAAUUCUUCUUUGCCAACUUCUUUUCAAGAUUUGUGAACUUUAAGUGAUUCUUUACACUUUGACCUUCUAUUAUUUUCCUUUAUAGACUGUUUUUGGUUUAUUGUUG
rnacentral:misc_RNA from 1 species